GCAGUGGUUGUUCAGUGGUAGAAUUCCCAACUUCGAUGUCGGAGACCUGGAUUUGAUUUCUGGCCCGUGCA
rnacentral:tRNA from 1 species